UGGUGAUGAAUGAUGAGUACUACUAGCUACAAAUUAAUGAACGGAUUUCUUGGUUUUCUACACAAAAGCUGCUUCAAUAGUUCCACCACGGAUAUUGAAGCCCUUUUUCGACGUGAGCAACCUGGACUGCGUUUCGGUCCAUAUCUCUAGAUGUCCAUGGAUGGAUGGAUGGAUGGUUGGAUGGGAGAAGGAGAAGGAUGGUGGUCACUGGUCAACACCCAAUGGAUAGGGUUUCGAUCUAAGAUAUUGAGUUCAACUUUGUUGUUGGACAUCUAACCUCCGACCGGUUUCGGUUGAGCUUGCCAAUGCGCAAAUUCCUUCCUAUUUAACCUGUUUUUAGGAUCAGUGCCUGAAUGAAACCUAUUUUUAUGAUUAA